UCCUUCGGGGGGGGCAGCAGUGGGGAAUUUUGGACGUAUAUGGGGGCAACCCUGAUCCAGCCAUUCCGCGUGAGUGAAGAAGGCCUUCGGGUUGUAAAGCUCUUUCAGCGGAACGAAACGGUGCGCUCUAACAUCGCGUGCUAAUGACGGUACCUGCAGAAGAAGCACCGGCUAACUACGUGCCAGCAGCCGCGGUAAUACGUAGGGUGCGAGCGUUAAUCGGAAUUACUGGGCGUAAAGCGUGCGCAGGCGGAUUGUUAAGCAAGACGUGAAAUCCCCGGGCUUAACCUGGGAAUGGCGUUUUGAACUGGCAGUCUAGAGUGUGUCAGAGGGGGGUGGAAUUCCACGUGUAGCAGUGAAAUGCGUAGAGAUGUGGAGGAACACCRAUGGCGAAGGCAGCCCCCUGGGAUAACACUGACGCUCAUGUACGAAAGCGUGGGUAGCAAACAGGAUUAGAUACCCUGGUAGUCCACGCCCUAAACGAUGUCAACUGGUUGUUGGGGGAGUGAAAUCCCUUAGUACCGAAGCUAACGCGUGAAGUUGACCGCCUGGGGAGUACGGUCGCAAGAUUUAAAACUCAAAAAAUUUUGGCGGG
rnacentral:rRNA from 1 species